rfam:Myotis brandtii contig250999, whole genome shotgun sequence.
AGGUUUGCGCAGUGGCAGUAUCGUAGCCAAUGAGGUUUAUCCAAGGCACAAUUAUUGCUAAUAAUAAAAAAAAAUGCCAACAAUGCUGUCCAGCUGGAUUCCCAACAGGUAAGGUCAUUUCUAAGUGGUGUGAGGCUGACCU